rnacentral:rRNA from 1 species
AUUGAACGCUGGCGGCAGGCUUAACACAUGCAAGUCGAGCGAGCGGCGGACGGGUGAGUAAUGUCUGGGAAACUGCCUGCUGGGGGGGGAUAACUACUGGAAACGGUAGCUAAUCCCGCAUACCAUCAGAUGUGCCCAUAUGGGAUAAGCUAGUAGGUGGGGUAAUGGCUCACCUAGGCGACGAUCCCGAGCUGGUCUGAGAGGAUGACCAGCCACACUGGGACUGAGACACGGGCCAGACUCCGACGGGAGGCAGCAGUGGGGAAUAUUGCACAAUGGGCGCAAGCCUGAUGUAGCCAUGCCGCGUGUGUGAAGAAGGCCUUCGGGUUGUAAAGCACUUUCAGCGAGGAGGCGUUACUCGCAGAAGAAGCACCGGCUAACUCCGUGCCAGCAGCCGCGGUAAUUC